GCUGGCGGCGCGCUUACACAUGCAAGUCGAGCGAGAAAGGGGAGCAAUCCCUGAGUACAGCGGCGUACGGGUGAGUAACACGUGGGUGAUCUACCUUCUAGUGGGGGAUAACCCUGGGAAACCGGGGCUAAUACCGCAUAAGCCUGUGAAGGGAAAGCAGCAAUGCGCUGGAAGAGGAGCCCGCGGCCGAUUAGCUAGUUGGUGAGGUAACGGCCCACCAAGGCGAUGAUCGGUAGCCGGCCUGAGAGGGCACACGGCCACACUGGCACUGAAACACGGGCCAGACUCCUACGGGAGGCAGCAGUGGGGAAUCUUGCACAAUGGAGGCAACUCUGAUGCAGCGACGCCGCGUGAGCGAUGAAGCCCUUCGGGGUGUAAAGCUCUUUCGGCAGGGACGAUAGUGACGGUACCUGAAGAAGAAGCUGCGGCUAACUACGUGCCAGCAGCCGCGGUAAUACGUAUGCAGCGAGCGUUGUUCGGAAUUACUGGGCGUAAAGAGUGUGUAGGCGGUGCUCUAAGUUCGGUGUGAAAUCUC
rnacentral:rRNA from 1 species